AAUUUCUGAAUGUUGACCUCGGAUCAGGUAGGAAUACCCGCUGAACUUAAGCAUAU
rnacentral:rRNA from 1 species